GAUGAACGCUGGCGGCGUGCCUAAUACAUGCAAGUCGAGCGAACGGACGAGAAGCUUGCUUUUCUGAUGUUAGCGGCGGACGGGUGAGUAACACGUGGAUAACCUACCUAUAAGACUGGGAUAACUUCGGGAAACCGGAGCUAAUACCGGAUAAUAUUUUGAACCGCAUGGUUCAAAAGUGAAAGACGGUCUUGCUGUCACUUAUAGAUGGAUCCGCGCUGCAUUAGCUAGUUGGUAAGGUAACGGCUUACCAAGGCAACGAUGCAUAGCCGACCUGAGAGGGUAAUCGGCCACACUGGAACUGAGACACGGUCCAGACUCCUACGGGAGGCAGCAGUAGGGAAUCUUCCGCAAUGGGCGAAAGCCUGACGGAGCAACGCCGCGUGAGUGAUGAAGGUCUUCGGAUCGUAAAACUCUGUUAUUAGGGAAGAACAUAUGUGUAAGUAACUGUGCACAUCUUGACGGUACCUAGUCAGAAAGCCACGGCUAACUACGUG
rnacentral:rRNA from 1 species